UCGGGAAUUUUGGGCAAUGGGCGAAAGCCUGACCCAGCAACGCCGCGUGAGGGAUGAAGGCCUUCGGGUCGUAAACCUCUGUCGGGAGGGACGAAAGGCGCGCAGGUGAACAAUCUGCGUACUUGACGGUACCUCCAAAGGAAGCGCCGGCUGACUCCGUGCCAGCAGCCGCGGUAACACGGAGGGCGCAAGCGUUGUUCGGAAUUACUGGGCGUAAAGCGCGUGUAGGCGGUUCGGUAAGUCGGAUGUGAAAUCCCGGGGCCCAACCCCGGAACUGCACCCGAUACUGCCGGACUAGAGUCCCGGAGAGGAUGGCGGAAUUUCCGGUGUAGAGGUGAAAUUCGUAGAUAUCGGAAGGAACACCAGUGGCGAAGGCGGCCAUCUGGACGGUGACUGACGCUGAGACGCGAAAGCGUGGGGAGCAA
rnacentral:rRNA from 1 species